ACCUUUACUAAAACAAGAAAAUUCAAAAAAAAAAGGGUGUCGGUUAGUAUCCUCGAACUUUUCCCUUUAAUCAGCAUUAGGGUUUUAAACCCUAAACUGAACUUCUUCCUUUUAGUCAGCAUUAGGGUUUUAAACCCUAAACUGAACUUUUUCCUUCAGUCAGCAUUAGGGUUUUAAACCCUAAACUGAACAUUUUUCCCUUAAUCAGGAUUAGGAUUUUAAACCCUAAACUGAACUUUUUCCCUUAGUCAGCAUUAGGGUUUUAAACCCUAAACUGAACUUUUUCCUUCAGUCAGCAUUAGGGUUUUAAACCCUAAACUGAACUCUUUUUCCUUAAUCAGGAUUAGGGUUUUAAACCCUAAACUAACUCUUUUCCUUUAGUCAGCAUUAGGGUUUUAAACCCUAAACUGAACUCUUUUCCUUUAGUCAGCAUUAGGGUUUUAAACCCUAAACUGAUCUUUUUCCUUUAGUCAGCAUUAGGGUUUUAAACCCUAAGCUGAACUCUUUUCCUUUAGUUAGCAUUAGGGUUUUAAACCAUAAACUGAACUCUUUCCUUCAGUCAGCAUUAGGGUUUUAAACCCUAAACUGAACUCUUUCCUUCAGUCAGCAUUAGGGUUUUAGACCCUUAACUGAACUCUUUUCCUUUAGUCAGCAUUAGGGUUUUAAACCCUAAACUGAACUUUUUCCCUUAGUCAGCAUUAGGGUUUUGAUGCCCUAAACUGAACUCUUUUCCUUUAGUCAGCAUUAGGGUUUUAAACCCUAAACUGAACUUUUUCUUUCAGUCAGCAUUAGGGUUUUAAACCCUAAACUGAACUCUUUUCCUUUAGUCAGCAUUAGGGUUUUAAACCCUAAACUGAACUCUUUUCCUUUAGUCAGCAUUAGGGGUUUAAACCCUAAACUGAACUCUUUCCUUUAGUCAGCAUUAGGGUUUUAAACCCUAAACUGAACUUUUUCCUUUAGUCAGCAUUAGGGUUUUAAACCCUAAACUGAACUCUUUUCCUUUAGUCAGCAUUAGGGUUUUAAACCCUAAACAGAACUCUUUUCCUUUAGUCAGCAUUAGGGUUUUAAACCCUAAACUAAACUCUUUUCCUUAGUCAGCACUAGGGUUUGAAACCCUAAACUGAACUCUUUUCCUUU
rnacentral:lncRNA from 1 species